UUCAAUCUUUUGAUCCCUCUGGGUGCUUUAUUUUUGCAGGUCAAACAAGGAUUUUUGUUCUAAUGAUGCCAAUUCCUUCUCCUCCUCGAGAUCUGUUUCCAGAUUACUAUGCUGGACCUGCUUCCACUCCUUGUGAGCCGAAACAGAAAUUUCUGGGGAACGAUAUCUAUGACGGAGGUAACCAAUACGAUCCUGUAAUUAAAAAGAAUAAUUCCCUUCCAUGAGUUCCGCCUGGUAGUUGUGGAGAAGGAUUACCUUAUGCCCCUAUGCAUUGGCCAAAUGUUGGUGAUAUUUGGAGCUGAAGAGUGAGGAGGAAGGUCAAAAGUUAUGGCUUCUAUAGCGAUAGAUAUCUCAAAAUUCCGAGAAGUAUUCGAAAGCCAAAUGCCCCGAAAAUCUUUUAAAGCAAGCCAGCACUUGAACGUUUUCUCCAGUCCGAUUUCCUGGAUGCAGAUGUUAACGCGUUCUUUGAUUCAUUUAUUUGGAAGAUUCCUGCCGUUGUGUUGCUUCCUUAUCCAUCUUGCGAGUAAAUUUGAUUUCUACCCUUUUUUCUUUCCCCUUUUUUGGUAGGAAGAGAUCUAGAAUGCAUAUUGAUUAUAUAAUACUUAGCAACUAACCAUAGAACGUUUGCAGGGUAUCCGGAUCGAAUGAGUCAGAUCUUUAGAUUCCAUAUUUUUCUUUAGCUUAUAACUUGGUUGCAGACCUUGAUAUAUCAUUUUAUAUGUCUUUAAACCCCUCCGGUCCUUAUGUGACCAAUUUGGUGUAGUUAUGAAAGCACUCAGAUGUUGGUUACAAUUACGCAUGAUUGAUGUUCUUAAGAACUUUUAAGUGCAUGCGCUUGUGAAUGAUAUAGCACUUAUAAUUAAGGGUGUAGCACGGUGAUUGUUGGCACGCUGUUUUUUGUUUCAUCCGGUAAUUGUGACUCGUAGUAAAUGCAAAUGAAACCAUAAUUUUAUCUGCAUUUCAACUGGAACUCUCAUUGUGCUACCAUUUGUUACAAAAUCUUCAUGAGAACGUACUUUUGUACCAGCAAUUUUGAUCCUCAAAUUGGUUUAUAUGCUGCUAUUAUUUAAAUUUCAUUGAUAAACUAUCGAAUGCCCGUCCUUUUAGGCACGAACAUGAAGGUGAGAGGUCUGUUUUGUUGCUUACAUAGCAACCGUACGCAUAUAUUUUUGUUGCUUCUGAAAUUGUUCUUGCGAAACAAUUUUAAUGUAUUCAGUAUGGUAUUUGAGUAGGUGGUAUGGAUAUUAACCAAUAAUUUAUAGCCAUCUGUUACUCCUCUUCAACCCAUGUCCGUCCUAUAUCUUGACGUACAUGGACAACUUACAAAAAAGUGAAAAACUGAGUAUACCCGUGUUUGAAUUACAUAGAUUUAGUCAUUCUCAUCAAAUAUGUUAGUCAAAAGUCGUUUGAUUGCAGGCUUCAAAGACCUAGGAACUGAGAAUUAAUCCGGUUCUAAUUGCUACUGCUGCUUGCAUUUAUAGACUUCUUUUUUCUUGUAUUAUGUCUGCUUUGAUGAACUGAAUAUCGUGAAAAAGUUUCAUGGUAUUGACAAUCACCUGUCAACGCAUGUGCCUGACCGGAAUAGUAACGUUUUCCUCAUUUGGAAUGUAUACAUUUUCCUGAAAAUUGUACUCCGCAUAAAACGGAAAGGAAGAGGGCUCCUCCCACUUCCUUGUUAAGUACUCUGAGUUCCAGCUACGGCGAAAAAAUGCAGAAGAUAACUAAAGGGUCAGCCAGACCUAAGCAACAAACUCACCUGCGACUUACAGAUUCUGCAUCCCCCCGUCCGUAAUUGAAGAUAUGAACGAUGAUCUUGAUGCGCCUUUCUUAGACAAUGAAAUGGAAAGGGCUGAGUUCGACAACUACCUCAAUUCUUUGGAUGAGAUUCUUGUUCAGCCUUGGUUUCAAGAACCAUUUUACCAUCCGGCAACGAUGGCUUAAGCUCGAAAGAAACUAUCUUCGCUUCUCGAUAUGGAUUUUGCUUCAUAGACCUCGAUGAACUCGCUACUCAAGCAUCCAAACUUCAGAAGUAUCCUACGCUUACUGUUGCACAACUUGUGAAACUGAAUUUAAUGGAAGAGAUUCCAACAUUCGCCGUCACGUUUCUAGAGAAUAGGGAAGUAAUGGGGCAGGCAGACAAGUUCGUCAUAGCCCUCGAGUACAACAUGGCCAAGGUUACUUCACUGAAACAAGAGUACUGUGAGAUAAAACUAGUAACAAAUCUGCAGUCCGAGGUAGAUUCCACCACAAUGGCCGUACAAGAUAUUGACAAUAAGCUUGCAUAGAUCGAAGCUCGACGCACCGAGGUCACAAGACUGAUGAUAUAUAAGAAGAUUAGAAACAAGGAUGAAUUGAUACAUAAUCAAAAAUUGGUGGCAAACUCCAUUCCGAAAGUCGUACAUGAGGUUCAGCUCGCUAAAACCAAAAAAAGGAAUGGGAGCUAAAGAAUGAAAGCGGAAUAAGGCGUGAGGCCGAAACACUUGCCAAAUUUGCUCCUCUAAAAGGGUUUUCCCUUUGAAGAAACAACAACAAAGUCAUCAUUGUCUGCUUAGGUUGAUAUUGUUUUGAACACCAUAGCCACGGGUAUGGAACUGUUAUGUUGUGCUUUAAGCAUCAGCAAUGGGGGUUUGU